UACAGAGGUCUCAAGCGUUGUUCGGAAUCACUGGGCGUAAAGGGUGCGUAGGCCGCACGGAAAGUCAGAGGUGAGAUCCCGGAGCUCAACUUCGGAAUUGCCUCCGAUACUCCCGUGCUUGAGGACUGGAGAGGAGUCUGGAAUUCACAGUGGAGCAGUGAAAUGCGUAGAUAUUGUGAGGAACACUAGUGGCGAAGGCGAGACUCUGGACAGUUCCUGAC
rnacentral:rRNA from 1 species